rnacentral:rRNA from 1 species
GAUGAACGCUCGCGGCAGGCUUAACACAUGCAAGUCGAGGGGCAGCGCGGGAUAGCAAUAUCCUGGCGGCGACCGGCGGAAGGGUGCGUAACGCGUGAGCGACAUGCCCGUUGCCCGGGGACAACCGGUGGAAACGCCGACUAAUCCCCGAUGGGAUAUUGUGCCGCAUGGCACGAUAUUGAAAGUUACGGCGGCGACGGAUUGGCUCGCGUCCGAUUAGCUGGUUGGCGGGGUAACGGCCCACCAAGGCUGCGAUCGGUAGGGGUUCUGAGAGGAAGGCCCCCCACAAUGGGACUGAGACACGGCCCAUACUCCUACGGGAGGCAGCAGUGAGGAAUAUUGGUCAAUGGGCGGAAGCCUGAACCAGCCAUGCCGCGUGCGGGAAGGAGGCCCUAUGGGCUGUGAACCGCUUUUGCCUGGGGGAAAUAAGGGCGUCGCGCACGUCCGAUGAGAGUACCAGGCGAAUAAGCAUCGGCUAACUCCGUG